UGUGCUUACAGGAUGCCUGGGAAGUGUUUGACAGAGCUGCACUGAGCUUGGCAACUUCCCCUGGCUUCUCACAUAAGAACAGCAAAUAUUUCAGGCCCUGACCUUUCUACAAAGAUUAUCAAAUGAUCUCUCUGCUAUGGUAUCCUGCAGUACUGUGAGAUGGUGACAUGGUAUACUUCAUCCCAAACCAUGCAGCAUAUGAAGGUAAUAUUGGGAAUUUUAACUCUUUGGGGAUGUUUUUUGUAUUCUUCCAUUCUAGUUAUGAAGGAGUGUUCUAAUUAAUACAACUCUAGCUGACACUUCCCCUAGAAAAAUAUGCAUUGUCCUGUGAAGAAUUCAAGGGAAAAGGGAAAUUAUCUCAUUCUUCUCAGCUCCCACUCCCCUCAGAGAAAUUUUAAACAGCUGAACAUUUCUUCCUGAGCUAGGCUGGCCUCCACCCCAAAAUGUUCCGUUCUUAGACAGGGAAGGAAAAACAAAAACAAAAUGUUUUUCUUACUCUCCUGAAUGGAUUGAGCACAGAUCAGGCCCCCUGGGUAUUUGGGAAGGAAGAUCCUAAGUACAUACGUUAAGAACUCCACCCACAUUCAGUAAGUUGAUGGGAAGAAUGUAAAUCUCUGAAAACUCAGGUCUCAUAAGAGUUGAAGUCAGGACUUCAGUGCAAAGGAAAGGGAAGGGCCUACAAGACUAGCCAGACAUUUUGUGAAUGAAAGUCUAAGUGUUGUUCCUUAAGAAAUCACAGACAGGAGCGGGUCUAUGCCUUCAACAAAGGGUCAAAAAGAAAUGUAAUUGGGUAAUUAUAAAAUGACAUGUUGACAUGGGGACACAACCAUACUUUCAGUCAGCAUAUUAGUCUAUGCCUUCAGGGAUGAUGUUUUUUGCUUCUCAAAAUCAGCCAAUCUUUUCCAGAAUUAAAUAUCUCUCCUGUUUUAUUCUCUAAGUGCUCUUAGUUCUAGUCUUUUGAGAUCUUGUUUUCUUGGCAGCUACAGAUGUUUUGUGAAAAUGUCUCUUUAAUUUCUUCCCUUGCUUUCAUGUCUCAAAGUUAGCUUUAUUUAAGCCUUCCUCUAACUGAAGUGCAGAGCAGAAUCUGCCAGUUUUUUGUACAAUAUCUGUUUCAUAUUCUCUUGUUUGAGUAAUUUUCUCAUUACAGAUUCUGCAAGAUAAGGCUGCAGGUGUUUAAGACACUCUGUAGGAUAACUUGAGUGACUCCAUGUUGCAGUGUUCAAUGUCUGAAAUGUUUUGUUUAUUCUGGAAAUUGAUGUUAUCUCUUUUUAUUUAUUACUAAAUCUGUUGUGGUAGCACUUUCAUGGGAUGCAGGGUGACAUUUUCUUCAGAAGUCACUGCAGUGCCUGUCUCUUAUUUUAACGUGCUGUGCAGCUGGCAAGCUGUGUUACUGAUAUUUCACACAACUCUGUCAGACUAUUUAUCUGUGUGCCCUCUGCUGCUCCAGAGUCACCCUGAUGAAAAGUCACCUGUGGGCUGAGCUCUGUGGGCUGAGCUGGUCGGAUGCCAGGCCCUGCCCUGUGUGAUUCCAGCUCACAAACCUGCCACGGUCCUGCUGGCUUAGCAGUCACGGCUCAUGCUUCAGUCUGGUGCUCUGCCUGGGUCUUACAUUUCAUUUGUAUCUGCUCACUUCUUAAAUCUCUCUGAAGCACAGAUGCUGCAGGGCUGGACUCCUGUGCUUGUGAUCAAGCAAACAUACACACAGAUGUAUGUAUCCAAUCCCAUCCUCUGUUCAGAUUUCCACUCUGCAGUUAAACUGUUCCUUACAGACGUGGUUCAGCCAUGCACGCUGCUUCUCCACAUGACCUGCUCUCAUGGAAUAUCUUGUGGCAUGUGACAUUAAGAAAAAUGCUUUCUUACACAGUAUUUUCCCCCUGCCCUCAGUUAUACGUUGAAUUUAUAGGCAUCAGCUGUAUUAGUAAACUCAAGAGUGCCUGGCAAUUUUCCUGGAACUGGAUUCUCUGUGCUUGUAUGUCUUAGGACAGUCCCAAUAAAGAAUUUGAUGUGCUUAUGAUAUCCCCUGAACAUUUCAUACACUUGGCCAGACAAUAUUGGCACAACUAAAGGCAGAUUGCUUACAACCUGCUUGGUUUGAAGAGUGACAGUUUAUUAAUAGACUUGAGCUGGACUGUGAUAAUUGUUCUCAGCUUCUCUAGGUGUGAGUCACAUGUUCUGGACUGACAUGGCACUUCUGUUAGAUGGCUGCAGCAUCCUGCUUAUUUUACAGCACCAUCUAUCCCGAUCCAUGUGUGUGGGCAAUACACAAUGUGACUCAGGAACACAAAACUUAUUCAACAAAGUGGUCCUUCAGUGUUCUGUGGGCAUCUGGCAGCUCCCUUCCGCUCCUGCUGAAACCCUAAGUACUAUCAAGCGAAGAGCAGAGCAGCCUCUUCCUGCAUUUCCCACCAGUUUAUUAUUCUUCUCUGGCUUGUGGAGAGUCCUCAAGGUUAACACCUGGAAAGUCCUAUGUUCAGAAGAGAACAGGCAGUGAUGUGCUCCCUGGUAAUCUGUUGAAAUUAUUGGCCUGCCUGUAUCCAGAACCAGCAUUUUUUCUCAAGGCUCUGAUCAGCCACGUGCUCAGCAUCCUCCCUGCGUCAUUAUCUUGGGAAAUACGCUCCGACACAGCAAGUAAGAGUAAAUUGUAAAACUGCCUUGCCAGAGAAGGGCAACAGAGCUGGGGAAGGGUCUGGGGCACAAAUCUACUGAGGAGCAGCUGACAGAGCUGGGGACGAUUAUUCUGGAGAAAAGGAGGCUCAAGGGGGACAUUAUCACUCUCUACAACUGCCUGAAAGGAGGCUGUAAACAGGUGGAGGUUGGUCUCUUCUUUUUACUUCAGGUAAAAAGUGUUAGAACAAGGCAAACUGGCCUCGAUCUGCACUGUGGGAGGUUUAUAUGUGUGUCGUAUAAACUGUAAAUCACCUCAGCUCAGAAAAGGUGUACCUAAAUUUGGAUUCUAUAUAUGUUAAUUUAUUCACUUCAAUAAUGAAAAAUGUGUUGUAAAUAUUUCUAAAUACAUGAUUUUGAACAAAAAUAUUGCACACACAGUAUCCUGUCAAGCAAAUCUCAGAAUUCCCUAACACAUGUGUACUUACUGACAGACAAUAAUAAACCAAUUAUCUUUUUGGUUUUUGAUGAACAUUAAAUAGAAUUCACACCCCUUACAUGGAAAAUACACACAUGUAUGAGAUUAACAUAAAUUAUUCAAUAACAGAAUGUAAAUUUCCCUCUCUCUUUCUUUCUUUAAUUCAUCCUUCCUUUCUCUCUUCCUUUCCACCCUAGCCCUUUAUCCAAAACAUACUAUUGUGUGCUUGUAGUAGGCCAGGGACUAACAUAUCAAUUUCCAUGCCAAGUGUGUAACUUACUGAUAGAAGAGAGGUUUUGCAGUUUUUGUGUAUAUGUACUAUUUUAUUGCUCUGUUUUAUGUUAUGUAUACUCUUUAUUUAUAAUUAUUUAAAGUCAUUAAUGGUUAAUAAAACUAUUCUGUCAGUGCUGUUA